rnacentral:lncRNA from 1 species
CCCAAGCUCCUUGAUGUAAACACUAUUUCAUUGCAGUGAGUGUGUAUACCUGAAAUUCAUUGAGGGAAAGGAUGUGGCACAUAGCACAGGCACAAUCAGAGAAGGCAAGAGAGAAUCCUGUCAGCAAAGAGCUGGAGGGGAGGAAAAAGGAAGGGGUGCUUCUAUAUCCAAUAUGUGCUCCAGCCUAUGCCAACAGAUAGGGCACCUCUGGCAGGUCAUUCCAUCCUUCUGCAGCUCAAUUUCCUCCUCUGCAAAGGGAUAAACACAGCAUGAACUUUAUAGGGUAAUUACGGGAUUAAGUAAGUUACUAUACGUGAAGUCUUUAAAACAGGGAGGCACUUCGCAGGCAUUAUGUAAGCACAGCCAGGAGCAGCAGACGCAGCAGUAGUAGUACUAGCUAGGAACUUCACAUUAGCACUGCAAAUCUCUGCAGAGGAGGUGCUUCCUGCACUUAUUAGGAAGGACUGUAACUGGUCACGUGUCUGCACCAACCUGAGACUGUGAACUCCAUGAGAAACAGAGACCAUGAUGCUCUUAUAAAUGACUGCAUCCCUAGAACCUAGCACUGUCCCUGGAACAUCACAGCCAAUGAAAAUAUGUGUUGAGUGUACACUAGUGGGAUAUGACCAAAAAAUUGCAAGGAGUGGAGUGGGCCCGGGAGCAUGCAGAUAAAAAUGCUGGACAUGGAAGUUCUCCAACCUCCCCAAGUUGAGUCUUAGUUUCUACACGUGAAAAAUAUGCACAGUGAACCCCAAGCCACCAGGGUGCCCGGAAGAUUGGACUGAAUCUUACAUUUAGAGAAAGCACCCAGGAAGCAGUGGGACUCAAUAAAUGGACAUUUAAUCUGGAUCUGAGUUGCACUACCUGCUU